ACUUCCCUCAUCCCCCUCACAUAACACACACCACAUACAAACACAGAGAUGACAGAGAGGAAGAGAGGGAGCAUCCGUCAUGUCGCCACCGUUCAGCCCAUCACUGCUGCCAUGUUGCCACCGAGCCGCGGGUCACGAUGGGAAGAGAGAGAGAGAGGCGCGCAGAGUUCAAAAGGAGAGAGAGAGGCCGAACGCGAGCGGGGAGGGAACCCUCAUCGUCGCCGUUCGUGGAGUCUUCGCCAGCACUGUCGUCGCUGUAGCGGAGGAGCGUCCCUGUCUCCGCGAGCUACCGCCAUCGAAGCUUCUGCUUCUGCUUUGCUGCUUCUGCUGUCAGCCGUCGUCCCUCUAGACAUCGCUGCUUCUGAACCCCCUGUCACUGGUUCUGCUUCUGAAUCCCCUGUCACUGGUUCUCUGCCUCCUCAUUGUGGCUCAACCUCUGUUUAGCUUGGUCUGAUCGUUGGCAAAGGUCAGUUAUUCAUUAUUAUUAGUAGCUUGACAUUGUGGUUUAGUUCUUUUACUUUCAUAUUCAUUGCAUAGGACAAUAAUUGGUUUCCAUGUUGUGUUGUAAUUGAAACACCCUAAUCUAAAUAUGUUUGUAUCCCCUGGAAGGCCAGCGUGGAAGGAAGCUUGUGCUACUCUUCAAAAGCUCCUUUCAGGUGCAAGUUGCAACCUCAAUAUGUUCUUUUCUUUUACAAGUAGGACAAGGUGAUUUGUGUGGUACAAUAUUGAAGGAAUCCGGGUAGGAAAGAAAGAAAGAAAUAAAAAUAAAAGGAAAAGAAUAAAAUAGAGAAAAAAGGUCAUUUAUUAGUUGAGCAAACAAACAUUCUAAUGCCUUAAACGCUACACUGGCUUCUACUUCCAUUAACACUUUCAUUGGUUUUGUUGGAUGGAAAUCUUCUUCUUUGUUUCCACAUUCUAAUGCCUUAAACGCUACACUUUCACUCCCUUUCAACCCAAAACUGCACCUCUCCGUCACUUGCUCUGCCUCUUCUUCCGGUACCACAGUUUUUUCUUUCUUCUCAUUAUGCUCUUCAUUUUGUUCAAUUUAGCUUCUUUUUCUUUUUUAUUUUUCUCUCAAUUCAUUUAUUUUUUGAAGUGGUAAUGUAGCUACUUUAUCUGUGUGAUAAUAAAGGUGACAUUGCUGGUUCCUAAUAGCAUCCAGUUUUAACAAAUUUGUUGCUUUAGAUAGUGGUGCAAAUUGUUAUAGGGUUCUAAGAGAAGGUAAUUCAUAUAUUUUUGAGUCAUUGAGAUGAAUCAAUUAAUGGAGAUUGUUGAAUUUGAUUGAUUGAAGGCAUGGAAAAAGAGGGGAAAAAGUUCUGUUAACAAUUAAUAUUCAUUUGUAUGUUUUAUAGAAAUGAGUAAUAUUGUUCAAAUUUGGGAGACUUUUAUAAGCAUUUCUUUCUCUUGAUUACUCUUUCAUUUUCUUGAUUAUACUCAUUUAAGCAAGAGAAAUUCAUGAUUUUUGUGGUGAUUUUGUCUUCAGAUCCUCUGCUGGUGAAGGCUGCCAGAGGAGAACCUGUUAGUCGGCCACCAGCAAGGAUGAUUUUGUCUUCAUGAUAUAUUUGAGCAUUGUUUGUGUAUUGACAUUUGACAAAUCUGUUUGUGGUAUCAAAUUAUCUUCAAAUCUUACAUUUUGUUUGUGAUUUUUUAGUUGGCAUUGAUGCUUAUAUUUGCAAGUUACUCCAAAACUGCGGGGUUAAGUCGAUUUUGAGGAGCAUAGCUAUAUACUUAUUAACAAAUACUUGAACGAAUGAAACUAUAUAAUACUACGUCUUUUCUCUUGGCUUAUUAUGCUAUACUAGUUCAGUUCGUUGUAAUUACUGUGAGGAGCAUAGCUAUAUACUUAUUAUUGCUUAUUAUGCUAUACUAAUUAGUUUAGUGAGAUUGUAUUAUUAUUAGUUAUUAUUGAUGGAUCACGUGAAUUAACCUCAAUUUCUUUUGGGUUAUUAACUCACCUGGUGUGGAACUUCUUAGUUUAUGCAUUUUUAUUUUAACUAAGAGAUUUAUUCUUCCAUGUAGGUAGGUUCUUUCAACCAAAGCACUCUAGCUUCUCAAGCAAAGAACAUGGUCUCUGCUCCCAUCCUUUUCAUUCUUUCUUUUUCUUAAUUCAUAAUUAAGGAAGAUACUAAUAUAAUUGAGUUUUUUCUAACUUAGCCUUUGCUCAUUGGGUUCAAAUCAGAACUUUUAUAGUAUGAAGUAUAUACUGUCUUUAAAUUUGCCAGACAAGGUUGGUACAUAACUUUGUGUUUGUCUUUUUAAUGCUUAUUAUUCAGGUUUUCUAAUUUGCCAAAAAUGUUUAUACAUAUAAAGAUCAGAUUUAAGAUUCUUUCUAGUUCUUUACGUGGAGCAGUUACCAUUAAAGCCAAGAGAGUCCACUCAAGCUGGGUUACCACACCAACUUUGUUGAAGAAAAAUGAAGAAAUUGUCACCCUUAGGCUAUAGUAUUUUUGUAUUUUGAAAAAUGAUGAUAUAAGUAAAAUUAGUUAUGACCUAGACUAGUAUUAUGUUAUUUUGCAAUGAUGAUAUAUUGUGAUUAUAGAUUUUAUAACAAUUUUUAUAAGUCAAAUUUGUUGGUAAA